AGUGAACGCUGGCGGCGUGCCUAAUACAUGCAAGUCGAACGGAGUGGCGCACGGGUGAGUAAUGUAUAGCUAAUCUGCCCUACACUAGAGGAAAACAGCUGGAAACGACUGCUAAUACUCUAUAGUGUAGGUUGAGGAUAUAUUGUAUCAGCUAGUUGGUGAGGUAAUGGAGCACCAAGGCUAUGACGCAUAACUGGUCUGAGAGGAUGAUCAGUAACACUGGAACUGAGACACGGUCGAGACUCCUACGGGAGGCAGCAGUAGGGAAGUGUGCUCAUGGGGGGAAACCCUGAAGCAGCAUCGCCGCGUGGAGUAUGACACUUUUCGGAGAGUAAACUCCUUUUGUUAGGGAAGCGGUACCUAACGAAUAAGCACCGGCUAACUCCGUGCCAGCCGCCGCGGUAAUAC
rnacentral:rRNA from 1 species